AAACGCUGGCGGCGUGCGUUAAACAUGCAAGUCGAGCGGGGGCUUCGGCUCCAGCGGCGAACGGCUGAGUAGCACGUGCCUGACCUGCCCACGAGUGGGGAAUAGCCCGGGGAAACCCGGGGUAAUACCGCAUGCGGUCUCCGGUGUGGGUGCCGGAGAGGAAAGCCUUCGGGCGCUGGUGGAGGGGGGCGCGGCCCAUCAGGUAGUUGGUGUGGUAACGGUGCACCAAGCCUGUGACGGGUGGCCGGUCUGAGAGGAUGGUCGGCCAGACUGGGACUGGGACACGGCCCAGACACCUACGGGUGG
rnacentral:rRNA from 1 species